rnacentral:tRNA from 1 species
GGAUUGUGGCUCAGCGGUAGAGCGCUCGCCUCACACGGGCAGGACCUGGGUUCGAUCCUCAGCACCA